rnacentral:lncRNA from 1 species
CGAGUCAGCAGCCACCGUUCACAGAAAAUGUUCGCUGCAAAGAGUCCGUUUUUUUCUCGCUUCGAGUGUUCGGUUUUAUGUACAAAGAAAGAAAGUGAGGAUUACUUGGAGUCAGAAACAGACUCAGCAGAAGCGCGGUUGCGCAACGCCUAACUUGCUACUUCAGGGAAAGAAUACAGGGCAUCGUUGGGCUGGAGAGAUGGCUCAGCCGUUAAAGGCUAGGCUCACAACCAAAAAUAUAAGAGUUCGGUUCCCAGCACCCACGGCUGUCUCUCCAGCCACCUUUUUUGUCGGACACCGCACCCACGCACACAGACUACUAAUAUAGAUAAAAGACAACUCUUAGAAAAUGUUAUCGGCUGUAACGAAAUGGAAAACAAUGAUUUAAAUAAAGCAAAUAAGCAAGUAAAGAACUCCUAAGGCUCCACACCCUGCGUAUGACCGGAGGAUUUGCGCGCUGGCGUCUGCCCUAGUCACUUAGCGUGAUGACCUCUUUCAUGCUGUUGCUACUGACUCCAAAUCAACUCGACGUCGUCCUCUCCUCCCUCCUCUCUUUACUACUCCUCUCAUUUUGAAAAAAGUAGUUUUGGCAUACAUGGACCGCCUCAAGCACCAGGACCUAGGAACUUCUGACAGCUUUCCUCUUCUCUUGGGCUCAGCUGGCCUCAACUAUUCACCAGGUUGCUUAGAGUUCUCCCUUCCCUAGAUAGUUUGUGGCGAUUCCAUCACAUCCAGGAUGGGACCACUCUCCUCGUCUCUGGCAACCAUUGUGUUUGUCUGCUCACUGACCGAGGUCCGGAAAGACCGACUCGUCACUGCACCUCUGGUAACAAAUCAGCGAUGGCGAGUGUUAACUGAGAACCUUGGGCUGGCUAUGAAACAAUACAAGAACUGGAUUUUUGUCCACACUCUCUACCCUUGGGUGUAAGGAAACUUGCUAACGUUCUUUAACAUUUUGCUACAGCCAUGUACAGAUGGGUGGCUAUCCAGGUGAACGCACCCUGGGCAAGGACUGUUAAAGCUGAGGGUGAGGCGGUCCUCCCGAGCUGGUGGGCACCUUGAAGGGGUUGUCUACGACUGAAGGUGAACGUUCUGGUGAUCGGGGGACCAGUGGGCAAGAAUCAGAGAUGUCCACGCACUAUUUUAUUUUCAUGUCGAGUUUUCUUCACACGCUGGUCCGACCUUUCCUGGAGUCCCGCACGUGGACGAAAACCAGGGGCAAGCUUCCAAGUGCUCCCAGCAGGAUGCGGGAGGAUUGAGUUUUGAGACGUGUCAGUCAUCCCUGAGGAGGGUGGCCUCCGUGUGCAGCCUCCUUGCAG